CUACUUAGCUGGCAGGGAAGAUACCAUUAUCACAAAGGUCGUUUCACCAGGGUGAGGCUUAUCCAUUGCACUUUGAAUCUGCUGGCUCUUGAUAUUUUUCCCCAAUGUGGGAAACUCGACUGCAUAAUUUGUGGUAACACUCUUCUCCAGGGAAAAA